UCUGGCAUAUAAUUUUACUUGGCCAAAUAAUGUGACGACGUGGGUCGAAACUGCUGUCCAUUUCACCGAAAUGUCGGCCAUUGUUAGCUGUACCUACACGGCUGUACGUCUCAUCUCGUGCUAAAACACUUCAGACCUAUUGAUGUCCAGGUUGGAGAUCCCUUCGCUCAACUGUUGCAGAAAUUGAGAACAUGAGAAAGUCUGAGCUUCAUGGCUGUUGUAUCAUCAAUGUGGUUUUGUUUUAUUCAUGAGGUGGGAAAAGUGUGAUUGAGUCAAGUUGAGCUGCAGCUGCUGCAUGAAGUUAAUCAAACUGAUGUUAUUCCUAUUGUCACAGCAGGAAGACUUCUUGAAUCGGUAAUUUGAUUGAUGUUAUUGGUUGUAACUUGGGAAUUAAGUUUUUUUUUUAAAUUUUGUAUUCAAUUGACAAGUAUAAGAUAAAAUUAAGUUGUAGAAAAUUAGAGUUUUUCUUCCUUCCAAAUAAUUGUUUCCGUUCAAAGAUAGCAUUGUUGGUCAGCUACUCAGCUUCCACUGAUUUUUUUUUUAAAUUAUUUUCUACCAAUCCAACUAAAAAAAAAAACUCCCACUCAGUAUUACCAAGUUUUUAUAACAUAUUGGAAGUAGAUGGACAGAAUUA